ACAUCCAGAGAAUUUAGCAGAGAUGCUUUUAGUGCCUUCGGGAACUCUGAGACAGGUGCUGCAUGGCUGUCGUCAGCUCGUGUUGUGAAAUGUUGGGUUAAGUCCCGNAACGAGCGCAACCCUUUAUCCUUUGUUGCCAGCACGUAAUGGUGGGAACUCAAAGGAGACUGCCGGUGAUAAACCGGAGGAAGGUGGGGAUGACGUCAAGUCAUCAUGGCCCUUACGAGUAGGGCUACACACGUGCUACAAUGGCGCAUACAAAGAGAAGCGACCUCGCGAGAGCAAGCGGACCUCAUAAAGUGCGUCGUAGUCCGGAUUGGAGUCUGCAACUCGACUCCAUGAAGUCGGAAUCGCUAGUAAUCGUAAAUCAGAAUGUUACGGUGAAUACGUUCCCGGGCCUUGUACACACCGCCCGUCACACCAUGGGAGUGGGUUGCAAAAGAAGUAGAUAGCUUAACCUUCGGGAGGGCGUUUACCACUUUGUGAUUCAUGACUGGGGUGAAGUCGUAACAAGGUAAGCGUAGUGCU
rnacentral:rRNA from 1 species